rnacentral:tRNA from 1 species
GGGAUUGUAGUUCAGUGGUAGAGCACUUGCCUAGCAUGCGUGAGGCACUGGGUUUGAUUCUCAGCACCA